UACGGAGGGUGCAAGCGUUGCUCGGAAUUACUGGGCGUAAAGGGCGUGUAGGCGGUUUUGUAUGUCUGGCGUGAAAGCCCCGGGCUCAGCUCGGGAAGUGCGUUGGAAACUGCAAGACUAGAGUCCCGGAGAGGAAGGUGGAAUUCCAGGUGUAGCGGUGAAAUGCGUAGAUAUCUGGAAGAACACCGGUGGCGAAGGCGGCCUUAUGGACGGUGACUGACGCUGAGACGCGAAAGAGUGGGGAGCAAACAGG
rnacentral:rRNA from 1 species